rnacentral:rRNA from 1 species
ACGGGGGGGGGCAAGCGUUGUUCGGAAUUACUGGGCGUGAAGGGCUCGUAGGUGGCCAAUUAAGUCAGACGUGAAAUCCCCAGGCUUAACCUGGGAACUGCGUCUGAUACUGACUGGCUUGAAUUCGGGAGAGGGAUGCAGAAUUCCAGGUGUAGCGGUGAAAUGCGUAGAUAUCUGGGGGAAUACCGGUGGCGAAGGCGGCAUCCUGGACCGAGAUUGACACUGAUGAGCGAAAGCCAGGGGAGCAAACGGGA